rnacentral:rRNA from 2 species
UGAAGUUAGCGGCGGACGGGUGAGUAACACGUGGGUAACCUGCCCAUAAGACUGGGAUAACUCCGGGAAACCGGGGCUAAUACCGGAUAACAUUUUGAACUGCAUGGUUCGAAAUUGAAAGGCGGCUUCGGCUGUCACUUAUGGAUGGACCCGCGUCGCAUUAGCUAGUUGGUGAGGUAACGGCUCACCAAGGCAACGAUGCGUAGCCGACCUGAGAGGGUGAUCGGCCACACUGGGACUGAGACACGGCCCAGACUCCUACGGGAGGCAGCAGUAGGGAAUCUUCCGCAAUGGACGAAAGUCUGACGGAGCAACGCCGCGUGAGUGAUGAAGGCUUUCGGGUCGUAAAACUCUGUUGUUAGGGAAGAACAAGUGCUAGUUGAAUAAGCUGGCACCUUGACGGUACCUAACCAGAAAGCCACGGCUAACUACGUGCCAGCAGCCGCGGUAAUACGUAGGUGGCAAGCGUUAUCCGGAAUUAUUGGGCGUAAAGCGCGCGCAGGUGGUUUCUUAAGUCUGAUGUGAAAGCCCACGGCUCAACCGUGGAGGGUCAUUGGAAACUGGGAGACUUGAGUGCAGAAGAGGAAAGUGGAAUUCCAUGUGUAGCGGUGAAAUGCGUAGAGAUAUGGAGGAACACCAGUGGCGAAGGCGACUUUCUGGUCUGUAACUGACACUGAGGCGCGAAAGCGUGGGGAGCAA